rnacentral:rRNA from 2 species
UUAACAAGGAUUCCCCUAGUAACUGCGAGUGAAGCGGGAAAAGCUCAAAUUUAAAAUCUGGCAGUCUUUGGCUGUCCGAAUUGUAAUCUAGAGAAGUAUUAUCCGCGCUGGACCGUGUACAAGUCUCCUGGAAUGGAGCGUCAUAGAGGGUGAGAAUCCCGUCUUUGACACGGACUGCCAGGGCUUUGUGAUAUGCUCUCAAAGAGUCGAGUUGUUUGGGAAUGCAGCUCAAAAUGGGUGGUAAAUUCCAUCUAAAGCUAAAUAUUGGCGAGAGACCGAUAGCGAACAAGUACCGUGAGGGAAAGAUGAAAAGAACUUUGGAAAGAGAGUUAAACAGUACGUGAAAUUGCUGAAAGGGAAACGCUUGAAGUCAGUCGCGUUGGCCAGGGAUCAACCUUGCUUUUUUUUUGCUUGGCUUACUUUCUGGUCGAUGGGUCAGCAUCAAUUUUGACUGGUGGAAAAAGUUCAAGGGAAUGUGGCAUCUUUGGAUGUGUUAUAGCCUUUGUUCACAUACAUUAGUUGGGAUUGAGGAACUCAGCACGCCGAAAGGCCGGGUUUUUAACCACGUACGUGCUUAGGAUGCUGGCAUAAUGGCUUUAAUCGACCCGUCUUGAAACACGGACCAAGGAGUCUAACAUGCGUGCGAGUGUUUGGGUGAAAAACCCGUGCGCGUAAUGAAAGUGAAAGUUGAGAUCCCUGUCGUGGGGAGCAUUGACGCCCGGAUCUGACCUUUUGUGACGAUUCUGCGGUAAAGCAUGCAUGUUGGGACCCGAAAGAUGGUGAACUAUGCCUGAAUAGGGUGAAGCCAGAGGAAACUCUGGUGGAGGCUCGUAGCGAUUCUGACGUGCAAAUCGAUCGUCAAAAUUUGGGUAUAGGGGCGAAA